GUAGGGUGCAAGCGUUAAUCGGAAUUACUGGGCGUAAAGCGUGCGCAGGCGGUUUUGUAAGUCUGAUGUGAAAUCCCCGGGCUCAACCUGGGAAUUGCAUUGGAGACUGCAAGGCUAGAAUCUGGCAGAGGGGGGUAGAAUUCCACGUGUAGCAGUGAAAUGCGUAGAUAUGUGGAGGAACACCGAUGGCGAAGGCAGCCCCCUGGGUCAAGAUUGACGCUCAUGCACGAAAGCGUGGGGAGCAAACAGGAUUAGAUACCCUGGUAGUCCACGCCCUAAACGAUGUCUACUAGUUGUCGGGUCUUAAUUGACUUGGUAACGCAGCUAACGCGUGAAGUAGACCGCCUGGGGAGUACGGUCGCAAGAUUAAAACUCAAAGGAAUUGACGGGGACCCGCACAAGCGGUGGAUGAUGUGGAUUAAUUCGAA
rnacentral:rRNA from 1 species